rnacentral:rRNA from 1 species
GAUCCUGGCUCAGGAUGAACGCUAGCUACAGGCUUAACACAUGCAAGUCGGGGGGCAGCAGGGCAAUAGCUUGCUAUUGUGCUGGCGACCGGCGCACGGGUGAGUAACGCGUAUCCAACCUACCCCGCGGUCAGGGACAGCCCGGCGAAAGUCGGAUUAAUACCUGAUGCAGUCAGAAGAGGGCAUCUGAUUUUGACGAAAGAUUGAUCGCCUCGGGAUGGGGAUGCGUAGGAUUAGGCAGGCGGCGGGGUAACGGCCCACCGCGCCGACGAUCCUUAGGGGUUCUGAGAGGAAGGUCCCCCACACUGGUACUGAGACACGGACCAGACUCCUACGGGAGGCAGCAGUGAGGAAUAUUGGUCAAUGGGCGGUAGCCUGAACCAGCCAAGUAGCGUGCAGGACGACGGCCCUAUGGGUUGUAAACUGCUUUUAUGCGGGGAUAAAGUGCGGCACGUGUGCCGUUUUGUAGGUACCGCAUGAAUAAGGACCGGCUAAUUCCGUGCCAGCCGCCGC